GUGGACUUCAGUGGAAUCCCUUGUGGCAGGGGGAGCGCUUCGACAGGACGCUUCCAUCGGGAGAUAAAGACGUCAAGGUGCAUCUCAUUGCAUAAAACAAGACAAAAAUGAGGGGAGCAGAGUGGAGAAGCCCUCCAAAAGGAGAGACCCAAUUUUAUUAAUUGAAUAUUUCUUGAGGAAGGAGGAAAAAAAAUUGCAAUGAAAGAAAAAUACAAGGUCA
rnacentral:lncRNA from 1 species